UAUGUAGGGGGCUAGCGUUGUCCGGAAUCAUUGGGCGUAAAGAGCGUGUAGGCGGCCCGGUAAGUCCGCUGUGAAAGUCGGGGGCUCAACCCUCGAAUGCCGGUGGAUACUGUCGGGCUAGAGUGCGGAAGAGGUGAGUGGAACUCCUAGUGUAGAGGUGGAAUUCGUAGAUAUUAGGAAGAACACCAGUGGCGAAGGCGGCUCACUGGUCCGGUACUGACGCUGAGGUGCGAAAGCGUGGGGAGCAAACAGG
rnacentral:rRNA from 1 species